ACUUCGUCGAAGGAUCUUUAUGUCAUGUCUACUGGAAUCCAGAAAUGAUAAAUCAAUCGGAAUGUCCAGUACGUGUGACAGCUGGAAACAUGUUCCUAAAUACAAGGACACAAUUGCCUUCUGCAGUACAUACAAAGAAACAGUCAAAAGUUCAACAUGAAUUCUACAUUCUUUCUCAUCAUCUUCGGAAUAGUCAUGUUGCUUGCCGUAGCAGCAGGCGAUAAACAGGAAUGUCGAAUGAGAUGCAUGAAGGAAAAUAUGAAAACUGGAAAUCCUGCAGAACUCAUCG